GGGGCGGGGCCCCGCGCCCAGAGGCCCUCGCGCCCCCUGCGCUGCGGCAGACGGGCGGGACGGGAACGGGAGAGGCUGAGGGGCGGAGCUGGACGGGAUCUGAGGGAUCUUGCAGUUCCAACGGCUCCUGCUGUGGGACAGGGGAGAACUUCCGGUACUGGAAGGUGCUGUGAGCUCUCCCCGGAGCCCUCUUUUCUCCAGGCUGAACAGCCUCAGCUCUCUCAGCCUGUCUUCGUAGGGGAGGUGCUCCAGCCCUCUGAGCAUCUUUGUGACGGCCUCUGGCCUCACUCCAACAGGUCCAUGUCCUUCCUGUGCUGAGGACCCGGAGCUGAACUCAUCACUCCAG